rnacentral:rRNA from 1 species
UGGGGAAUAUUGCACAAUGGGCGAAAGCCUGAUGCAGCAACGCCGCGUGAGGGAUGACGGCCUUCGGGUUGUAAACCUCUUUUAGUAGGGAAGAAGCGAAAGUGACGGUACCUGCAGCAAAAGCACCGGCUAACUACGUGCCAGCAGCCGCGGUAAUACGUAGGGUGCAAGCGUUGUCCGGAAUUAUUGGGCGUAAAGAGCUCGUAGGCGGUUUGUCGCGUCUGCUGUGAAAUCCCGAGGCUCAACCUCGGGUCUGCAGUGGGUACGGGCAGACUAGAGUGUGGUAGGGGAGAUUGGAAUUCCUGGUGUAGCGGUGGAAUGCGCAGAUAUCAGGAGGAACACCGAUGGCGAAGGCAGAUCUCUGGGCCAUUACUGACGCUGAGGAGCGAAAGCAUGGGGAGCGAACA